UAUUUGCUUAUGAGAGAGCAUGUUUGUUGGUUAUUUAGAGGAGACAAUACGGCUUGAUAUUUUGUCAGAAGCGGUCGUUGGAAAAGCUUGGAUCCAAGAUGAACAGUAAAGGUGUCGUCGUGCUUCUUGUGUGCUGUCUAUUAGCCAUACAGCUGGCCUCGGUGAACGGUAUCUGCUACCAGUACAUCUGUAAGCGGCGUUGUGACUACAGGGCGCCAAACUACGAUGAAUAUGCCUUCCGGUACUUGUGGCCGAUUGCCUGCGGGCGGAGGAACGUCAUUCGCUGGGGAGUGAAGGCGUGUUGUCGAACGAUGGGCCGAUAUUAAAUCCAUAUUUCGAAACAUAAUAUCAGACGGAUCAAGGUCAAGUGGAAACAAAUAAAUUCCAGCAAAACCCUGAUGUUAAGCGAUAAGAAUGAAAUUGUUCUUGUUUAUUGUUAUAUCUGUACACAUAUAAAUCAUUGGUUGAAGAUGU